rnacentral:rRNA from 1 species
AACGCGAAGAACCUUACCUGGACUUGACAUGCUUUUGACCGCUGCAGAAAUGCAGUUUUCUCGCAAGAGACAGAAGCACAGGUGCUGCAUGGCUGUCGUCAGCUCGUGCCGUGAGGUGUUGGGUUAAGUCCCGCAACGAGCGCAACCCUUGUCGUUAGUUGCCAACACGUAAUGGUGGGCACUCUAGCGAGACUGCCUAGGUUAACUAGGAGGAAGGUGAGGAUGACGUCAAGUCCGCAUGGCCUUUAUGUCCAGGGCUACACACGUGCUACAAUGGUCGGUACAAUGGGAAGCCAAGUCGUGAGAUGGAGCAAAUCCUUUAAAGCCGGCCCCAGUUCAGAUUGGAGUCUGCAACUCGACUCCAUGAAGAUGGAAUUGCUAGUAAUGGCGGGUCAGCAACACCGCCGUGAAUCCGUUCCCGGGUCUUGUACACACCG